CAAGUCAGUCGUGAAAUCUUCGGCUCAACCGAAGAACGUCGGCUGAUACUGCUCUUCUUGAGGGAUGCAGAGGAGACUGGAAUUCCCGGUGUAGCGGUGAAAUGUGUAGAGAUCGGGAGGAACACCGGUGGCGAAGGCGGGUCUCUGGGCAUCUCCUGACGCUGAGGCGCGAAAGCGUGGGGAGCAAACGGGAUUAGAUACCCCGGUAGUCCACGCUGUAAACGAUGACGACUAGGUGUGGGAGGGUUCAGUCCCUUCCGUGCCGCAGCUAACGCAUUAAGUCGUCCGCCUGGGGAGUACGGCCGCAAGGUUGAAACUCAAAGGAAUUGACGGGGGCCCACACAAGCGGUGGAGCAUGUGGUUCAAUUCGAUGCAGAGCGAAGAACCUUACCUGGGCUUGACAUGGCGGAAGUAGGAACCCGAAAGGGGGACGACUCGUUGAGUCGAGAGCCGUCACAGGUGGUGCAUGGCUGUCGUCAGCUCGUGCCGUGAGGUGUUGGGUUAAGUCCCGCAACGAGCGCAACCCUCACCCUAUGUUGCCAACGGUUCGGCCGGGCACUCUUAGGGAACUGCCGGCGAAGAGCUGGAGGAAGGGGGGGAUGACGUCAAGUCCGUAUGCCCUUUAUGCCCAGGGCUACACACAUGCUACAAUGGUCGGUACAGAGGGUUGCCAACCCGCAAGGGGGAGCCAAUCCCAGAGAACCGAUCUCAGUUCGGAUUGUAGGCUGCAACUCGCCUACAUGAAGUCGGAAUCGCUAGUAAGCGCAGAUCAGCAGGCUGCGCUGAAUACGUUCCCGGGCCUUGUACACACCGCCCGUCACACCACGAAAGCUGGCUGUACCAGAAGUCGCUGCGCUAACCGCAAGGAAGCAGGCGCCCAAGGUGUGGUCGGUGAUUGGGGUGAAGUCGUAACAAGGUAGCCGUAGGGGAACC
rnacentral:rRNA from 1 species